CCUACGGGAGGCAGCAGUGAGGAAUAUUGGUCAAUGGCCGGAAGGCUGAACCAGCCAUGCCGCGUGAAGGGCAGGGCCCUAUGGGCGUUAAACUUCUUUUGUGCGGGAGCAAUAAUGGUCACGUGUGGCCAGACGAGAGUACCGUACGAAUAAGCAUCGGCUAACUCCGUGCCAGCAGCCGCGGUAAUACGGGGGAUGCAAGCGUUAUCCGGAUUUAUUGGGUUUAAAGGGUGCGUAGGCUGUGAGGUAAGUCAGCGGUGAAAUGCCCCCGCUCAACGGGGUGAAGUGCCAUUGAUUCUGCCGUGCUGGAAUGCGGAUGCCGUGGGAGGAAUGUGUGGUGUAGCGGUGAAAUGCAUAGAUAUCACACAGAACACCGAUUGCGAAGGCAUCUCACGAAUCCGCGAUUGACGCUGAUGCACGAAAGCGUGGGUAUCAAACAGGAUUAGAUACCCUAGUAGUC
rnacentral:rRNA from 1 species